AAUCCCCUUUUCACUUUGCCAAUUGGACUUACGUCAUUAUUGGUCAUUCAAGUGCGCAAAGAAAAUAAUGAUUUUAAAACUCAGGCAAACUGGGUGUUGGUCUUGUAUCCUGUUGAAGGAAACAAAU
rnacentral:snoRNA from 1 species